AACGAACGCUGGCGGCAGGCCUAACACAUGCAAGUCGAGCGCGUGUAGCAAUACACGAGCGGCGUACGGGUGAGUAUAACGUGGGAACCUGCCCUUCGGUACGGAACAACCCAGGGAAACUUGGGCUAAUACCGUAUGUGUUCUCCGGGUGUGGUGCUCGGGGAAGAAAGAUUUAUCGCCGAAGGAGGGGCCCACGCCGGAUUAGGUAGUUGGUGGGGUAAUGGCCUACCAAGCCUACGAUCCGUAGCUGGCUGAGAGGAUGAUCAGCCACACUGGGACUGAGACACGGCCCAGACUCCUACGGGAGGCAGCAGUGGGGAAUAUUGGACAAGUGGGGGCAACCCUGAUCCAGCCAUGCCGCGUGAGUGAUGAAGGCC
rnacentral:rRNA from 1 species